rnacentral:rRNA from 1 species
GUGAUCCAGCCAUGCCGCGUGGMGMUGAAGGCCUUAGGGUUGUAAAGCUCUUUCACCCGUGAAGAUAAUGACGGUAGCGGGAGAAGAAGCCCCAGCUAACUCCGUGCCAGCAGCCGCGGUAAUACGGAGGGGGCUAGCGUUGUUCGGAAUUACUGGGCGUAAAGGGCGCGUAGGCGGAUAUUCUAGUCGGGGGUGAAAUC